UACAGAGGGUGCGAGCGUUAAUCGGAAUUACUGGGCGUAAAGCGUGCGUAGGCGGAUAUUUAAGUCGAAUGUGAAAUCCCUGGGCUUAACCUGGGAACUGCAUCCGAUACUGGGUAUCUGGAGUAUGGUAGAGGAAAGUGGAAUUCCCGGUGUAGCGGUGGAAUGCGUAGAUAUCGGGAGGAACAUCAGUGGCGAAGGCGACUUUCUGGAUCAAUACUGACGCUGAGGCACGAAAGCGUGGGGAUCAAACAGGAUUAGAUACCCUGGUAGUCCACGCUGUAAACUAUGAGAACUAGACGUUGGGGGGCUUGUCCCCUUAGUGUCGAAGCUAACGCGAUAAGUUCUCCGCCUGGGGAGUACGGCCGCAAGGUUAAA
rnacentral:rRNA from 1 species